UUGCUACAGGCUUAACACAUGCAAGUCGAGGGGCAGCAUUUUAGUUUGCUUGCAAACUGAAGAUGGCGACCGGCGCACGGGUGAGUAACACGUAUCCAACCUGCCGAUAACUCCGGAAUAGCCUUUCGAAAGAAAGAUUAAUACCGGAUAGCAUACGAAUAUCGCAUGAUAUUUUUAUUAAAGAAUUUCGGUUAUCGAUGGGGAUGCGUUCCAUUAGUUUGUUGGCGGGGUAACGGCCCACCAAGACUACGAUGGAUAGGGGUUCUGAGAGGAAGGUCCCCCACAUUGGAACUGAGACACGGUCCAAACUCCUACGGGAGGCAGCAGUGAGGAAUAUUGGUCAAUGGGCGAGAGCCUGAACCAGCCAAGUAGCGUGAAGGAUGAAGGCUCUAUGGGUCGUAAACUUCUUUUAUAUGGGAAUAAAGUUUUCCACGUGUGGAAUUUUGUAUGUACCAUAUGAAUAAGGAUCGGCUAACUCCGUGCCAGCAGCCGCGGUAAUACGGAGGAUCCGAGCGUUAUCCGGAUUUAUUGGGUUUAAAGGGAGCGUAGGUGGAUUGUUAAGUCAGUUGUGAAAGUUUGCGGCUCAACCGUAAAAUUGCAGUUGAAACUGGCAGUCUUGAGUACAGUAGAGGUGGGCGGAAUUCGUGGUGUAGCGGUGAAAUGCUUAGAUAUCACGAAGAACUCCGAUUGCGAAGGCAGCUCACUAGACUGUCACUGACACUGAUGCUCGAAAGUGUGGGUAUCAAACAGGAUUAGAUACCCUGGUAGUCCACACAGUAAACGAUGAAUACUCGCUGUUUGCGAUAUACAGUAAGCGGCCAAGCGAAAGCAUUAAGUAUUCCACCUGGGGAGUACGCCGGCAACGGUGAAACUCAAAGGAGUUGACGGGGGCCCGCACAAGCGGAGGAACAUGUGGUUUAAUUCGAUGAUACGCGAGGAACCUUACCCGGGCUUAAAUUGCAACAGAAUAUAUUGGAAACAGUAUAGCCGUAAGGCUGUUGUGAAGGUGCUGCAUGGUUGUCGUCAGCUCGUGCCGUGAGGUGUCGGCUUAAGUGCCAUAACGAGCGCAACCCUUAUCUUUAGUUACUAACAGGUCAUGCUGAGGACUCUAGAGAGACUGCCGUCGUAAGAUGUGAGGAAGGUGGGGAUGACGUCAAAUCAGCACGGCCCUUACGUCCGGGGCUACACACGUGUUACAAUGGGGGGUACAGAAGGCGGCUACCUGGUGACAGGAUGCUAAUCCCAAAAACCUCUCUCAGUUCGGAUCGAAGUCUGCAACCCGACUUCGUGAAGCUGGAUUCGCUAGUAAUCGCGCAUCAGCCAUGGCGCGGUGAAUACGUUCCCGGGCCUUGUACACACCGCCCGUCAAGCCAUGAAAGCCGGGGGUACCUGAAGUACGUAACCGCAAGGAGCGUCCUAGGGUAAAACUGGUAAUUGGGGCUAAG
rnacentral:rRNA from 1 species